ACAGGGCGAGGCAAAAGCCAGCGCGACGCCGCCGCUCGAUUCAUCGGGGCUGGACCGUACGGAACUUCUCCCGGGAUUGUUUUUUCCCACAAGGGUCACGCAAUCCUGACCGUCCAAUCGCUCCUGACUAUCUCCAUCGCAGCAUCCAUGCAUCCCACCGACUUCAUCUGCGCAUUUGCCAUCCGUGGUCGUGAUGGUCGUGUUUGGGAGAUUUUGUGGCAGAGUCCGUUCACAGCAGGUAUUGUCAGAUCAACGGGACUCGGAUUGCGUAGUGUAGCUCACACAGUACUGACGUCGGUACUGUUUGCUGUGCCAUCAUGAUGUCUGUGAUUUAUCCACGCCGUUCAUCCAUUUUUCCAGAUCGUUUUAGGGUAUGAGCCUAAAAAUGAGGCAGAUCUAAAUAUCAGGUGGAUCACAUCAUAGGAAACAUUGGUGAUUGAACGCUGACCAUUAAAAACUUAGUGGGGGCUACAAAAGUUUUAGGUCAAGCUGAGAUUUGUGUUUUCUCUUCACCCAGGUUUAUGUGACCUAAUCAACAGAUUGGAUGGCAAAUAAAUGUUAGAGUGCGCCUUAGGAAGUUUUUAAUGGUUGGCGUUCAAUCACCAUUGUUUCCUGUGAUGUGGUCCACUUGAGAUUUGGAUCUGAAUCUUGAGUUCAUGCCCUAAAAUGAGCUGGCAACAUGGAUGGACGGUGUGGAUAAAACACAUAUAUCAUGGAUGGACGGUGUGGAUAAAACACAUAUAUCAUGGUGGGGCCGCAGACCCUUUCAAGCAGCACACAUUACCAAACUCGGCUCUUUGUGCAACACUAUGCAGUCUGAGUCCAGAUCAACGGUCCAUAGGACCGAACUGUGGGUCCCACUUGUAUGGAACUCGACCUUGUCAUCUUCGCAUUGUUUUUAUUGUUGCUGCUGUGGGCCCCACUUGUGGACCGUUGAUCUGCAUUUGGACAUGUGAAUAGUCCAAUUGAUCGGUCUAGAUUGUCUUUUGGUCCAUCCUACACUGCAUGGGCAAUAGGAAAAAAUCUCACUGAUUGGAUGAUCCUGUCCAUCCAACCUAAGAUCUUUCUUUUAACUGUCUAUUUCCAAGCUAUUAUGGCAUGGCUAGGAUCAUCUGAUCAAAAUGGUUCCUCAGAAUGAUAAGAAAACCAAGCUGUGGCCCAUCAAAUGGGUCUCAGAUUGGUGAUUGGAUCUAGUCAUCUUUCGUAAAAUAGAUCUGAUAAUCUAAGCUCCACAAUAGGUGUGUAUUGGAGGAGACCAGAAGUGGGGCCCACUUGAUAACACGUGCACCAGGUGGCCUUUUUUAGUCAACCAGAUGGACUGUGGGGCCCCCAAGACCAUACGGUCCCGCAUUAGAAUCCUUAAUGAUAAUGGAGUUCUUUGAUACUCAGGUAGAGUGUGAUGGCACUUAGAUGUUGUACAUGGAUUUGACAAGAACAACAAAUAAGAUGUUACAGUCGAAUAUAUAGCUUACAAAACAGUACAGUUGGGUUAGUGGGCGGCCCCACAAAUUAACUGAUUGGCAUACAGAGCCAUCUGAUUGGAUUUGUGGACCCCACAAUCCAAUUAAAUGUUGCAGUCCUUUUCCUGUUGAGCAAGGUAUUCAAAAUCGGUAACGGUCAUAACCCUUACGCGUUAAGGGGUCGAAAUAGCCGUAACGGCUGUUACAGAAAAAACAGGCCGUAAUGGCCCCGUAAUGGACUGUAAUGGACAUGUAAUGGUCCUGUAACAGUUUUCUCAAAAAUAAAAAAAGGGCCGUAACGGCCGAUAUGGCCCGUAUCAUAACAGUGAUGGUGGUGGCCAUUACGGCCACCAUUACCAUUUUGGAACACCUUGCUGUUGAGUAAUGAUCAAUUUUGGUGUGUCCUUUAGCGCUUUCUUUGGUUACUUCUCUAAUACCAACAACCUCAUUAAGCAAUUCUCCUAUGACAGUUGUAGUCUUAAAAAAAAAAUAAAAAAAAAUCAAAGAGAAUGGACUA